AAAAAAUCGGAAAUUUCCGAUUUUUCCCAUUGAAAAAAUCGAAGAUUUCAGAUUUUUCUCUCGAAAAAAUUCAAAAAAUUUCAGUUUUUCCCUUUAAAAAAUUAAAAAAAAAAUUUCAAGAGAAAAACUGGAAUUUUUGAAUUUUUUGAG
ensembl:ncRNA T06A10.105 ncRNA